rnacentral:rRNA from 1 species
AUGAGUUCAUCGUAUCACCCGCAGACGGAUGGGCAGAUGGAGCGGGUGAAUCAGUGCUUGGAAACAUACUUGCGUUGCUCAGUGCACUCAUGCCCGGGGAAUUGGGCGCGAUGGCUAGCCCUUGCAGAAUACUGGUAUAAUACUUGCUUUCACUCGGCUUUGGGACGUACUCCAUUCGAGGUGAUCUAUGGACACUUGCCUAGGGAGUUUGGCAUAUCUCAGGUGGAUGAGAGCACCGUUCCAGAUCUGGCAGCCUAG